rnacentral:rRNA from 1 species
UGGGGAAUUUUGGACAAUGGGGGAAACCCUGAUCCAGCCAUCCCGCGUGUGCGAUGAAGGCCUUCGGGUUGUAAAGCACUUUUGGCAGGAAAGAAACGUCAUGGGUUAAUACCCCGUGAAACUGACGGUACCUGCAGAAUAAGCACCGGCUAACUACGUGCCAGCAGCCGCGGUAAUACGUAGGGUGCAAGCGUUAAUCGGAAUUACUGGGCGUAAAGCGUGCGCAGGCGGUUCGGAAAGAAAGAUGUGAAAUCCCAGAGCUCAACUUUGGAACUGCAUUAUUAACUACCGGGCUAGAGUGUGUCAGAGGGAGGUGGAAUUCCGCAUGUAGCAGUGAAAUGCGUAGAUAUGCGGAGGAACACCGAUGGCGAAGGCAGCCUCCUGGGAUAACACUGACGCUCAUGCACGAAAGCGUGGGGAGCAAACAGU